UUCUCAGGAAAAUUUAAUGUAGGCUGAACUGAAUAUAAUGGAUAAUAUUUCCUAAUGAUCAUAUUCUUUCUUAUCUACAGGAAGACAAGAAGGCAACUCUGAAUUUGGACGUAAUCACAAACCCAGUAAAAAGGGAGGAAGAAACUAAUGGGAGAAUUCUCCAUGAAAUAUGGACAUUGCACAGGACAAUAUCACAAAGAGAUUCUGUCUUCGCUCUGUGUCCUGGUUUAUAUGUUUUACACUGAAUCAUAUAUAGAAAAAGCAAUAAAAUUAUCUGCAUCCUA